rnacentral:tRNA from 1 species
GAAUCUUCCCGAGUGGAUAACGCGAUUGCGUUUGAAGCGAAAGGUAACGGGUUCGAGUCCCAGAGUGAACA